UAUUACCAUCAGUGUUAUAAAAUAAGGGUUUUGAAUCUGAAGACUGUAAAAUGCUUUUUAUUUAAAGCUUUCUAAUUUUAUCAAUAUGUAAAGUGCUUAUGGCUGCUGUGUCAUUAAGUCUACUAAACACACGUAGCAAUAGCAAUAGUAGCUGCUACACUCCAGGCACUGUGCUGGAUGCUUUUCUGAGAUUUCUAAGUAAGUUUCAUAAUAACUGUGAAAUAGGUAUAUCUUUAUUUUACAGAUGAGAAAACUGAAGUCCAAAUAAGUUAAACAACUUACCCAUAUACACCCAUUAAAUAACAGGCAGAAAUGCCUGACCUUGUCUGACCUCAAAUCCCAUUUCCACUGUGGCAUGCUACCACUGAAAAUGAAAUCAGCACUAGAUUUGAACUUAGAACUUUUUAAAAAUACCAGCAGUUUCUCCUUUUUUGGCCUCCUACACAUCUUUGCAGUAAAUUACAUGUUGAACAUUACAAAGAAUGGAAAAAUUAGUUUCUGUACCUUGCAACUGGUGGCAGCUUUAUAGUUUAGUGUCAUGAUUAGACCUCCAUAUGAUACAUUGUUAAAUUUAUGUGUUACUGGUGUUUUUUGACCCCCCAGUCCAAUGUUCAUCCCAUCACCUUUGGAUAUUUAUUCCUGUGACUUAAUUGUAUCAAAGGAAAAAGAUGCAGUUAAUUUUAACACUUUGGUAAUGCAUUAUAAAAUAUAACCUUCUAUAUUUCUUUUCCUCUUUUUUUCUGAGUGUAGUUUACAUCCUUUUUCUUUAUUUUUG
rnacentral:lncRNA from 1 species